GGCGGGAACGCGGAAGGGGCUGCGGCGCCGCGCGCCGACCGAGUCGGGGGCGGGGCCGGGCGCGAGUGUGCGGGGCGCGCGGGUGACAGGUGUGGGGACGGCCGGGCGGACCCUGGGUGGAAGCAGAGGCGGCGGCCUGAAGCCCGAGGGAGGGAGACACGGCGGCGGCGAUGCUGGAGACACUGCGCGAGCGGCUGCUGAGCGUGCAGCAGGAUUUCACCUCCGGGCUGAAGACUUUAAGUGACAAGUCAAGAGAAGCUAAAGUAAAAAGCAAACCAAGGACUGUUCCGUGUUUGCCAAAGUACUCUGCUGGACUAGAAUUACUUAGCAGGUAUGAAGAUACAUGGGCUGCACUUCACAGAAGAGCCAAGGAAUGCGCAAGUGCUGGAGAGGUAAAGAAUGGGCUAACCUUGGGGGGAAAUCUCUUUUCGCAGCGUUAAAUUGUAAGAAAUUAAAUUUGGAAUUGCAUUAAAGUAUUUUGCAGGAUAUCUGAAAUUGAAUUUAGUAGUUAUGAAACUCCCUAAAUUAAAUUUUUGCAAUUCUUCUCAACUAAAUCUAAGCUGAGUUAGGCGUAGAGAGUUUAUGACUUUUAUCCUCCAGUCUCAAGGAGAUAUUUGGUUCAUCUCAGUAUAAUGUUUUGAAGUUGAGUCUGAAGCCUAAAACCAUUAAUUUGCUUACCAAAUAAAUGUAAAAGUUUCAGGGGUGAUCCUCAAUUCACUUAGGGGAACAAACUAUUUUGAGGCACUAUGUGUAGAGUAUAUAAUGUAUAAAAGUGAUUGUACUUUUUAUAAAGUGUACUUUUAUUGUGUAUAAAAGUGAUUGUGGUGAAAAGUAUUUGGUACACAUACUUAUAGCUUUAUUAGCCAAGAUUAAAUACUCUGUCCUAUGGUUGUCAGUCAGACUUACUUCUUUAUAAAAACACUUCUGUGAUUCUGAAUUUUAAUUAACGUAGACUGACUUUCUUAACCACUUACCUAGAUGUGGGAAGCUGUAAUAGUUACAUAGAGAAGAGUAAUGUAUGUGAUGAAAGUUACACAUUAGCGUUUCUCUUAGAAAUUACUGACAAGGGGGAAUAUAGGUUUCUGGUAGUAAGGCAGACCAGGUACUUUGAAAAGCCCUGUAGCUGUAAAACACUUAAAUGCUGGAUAGAUAUUUUAAAAAUUAUUUAGUGCGUUAGGCUCACAAAAAAAGGAGAUCCUAAAGGGGGGGGGGGGGGGAAGAAAACAGAAGAAAAAAAGGGAACCGAAA